CAAACAAACAAACAAGUAAACAAACAAAACGAGAUUACCUCGCCGAAAGUUGCUUAGUUUCUUUUUUGUUUUUGUUUUUUGU
rnacentral:ribozyme from 14 species